AGCUUGGACACUGGCUUGUCCCCCAGAGCAGGAGGGACCUGACUGCUCCAGUGCUUAUUCCUGUGGCCUCUGACAAAGGGUGCUCUGCAUACCACAAAACUGUUUAAAGGAAUACUUUAUGGAGAGGAGCAGUUCUCUCUGUUAAAAACACAAAUGUGAAAUAGAGCCUUACCUUCUAGCAAUGCCUGCCAGCAGUUCUGCAAUGGAAAAUGUGAAAAUGCCUCUAAGAAAUUUCCUGGAGCUGAGCCUGUGAUAACUCUGCUCCCCUGCCACAGGUCCUUGGCUCCUGUCCUGGUCCCA